GUAACGCUCUUGGGUGUUCUCAGACUGUCAGCUCAGUGGGUUGCGUCUGCCUCUCUCAGGAUGGAAGUCUGCAGUGUCCUUCCUGCAAAACCAUCUAUGGAGAGAAGACGGGGACCCAGCCCCAAGGAAAGAUGGAGGUAUUACGGUUCCAGAUGUCGCUCCCCGGCCACGAGGACUGCGGGACCAUCCUCAUAGUUUACAACAUUCCCCAUGGCAUCCAGGGCCCUGAGCACCCCAAUCCCGGAAAGCCGUUCACUGCCAGAGGGUUUCCCCGCCAGUGCUACCUUCCAGACAACGCCCAGGGCCGUAAGGUCCUAGAGCUCCUGAAGGUGGCCUGGAAGAGGCGGCUCAUCUUCACAGUGGGCACGUCCAGCACCACGGGGGAGACGGACACCGUGGUGUGGAACGAGAUCCACCACAAGACAGAGAUGGACCGCAACGUUACGGGCCACGGCUAUCCUGACCCCAACUACCUGCAGAACGUGCUGGCUGAGCUGGCUGCCCAGGGGGUGACCGAGGACUGCCUGGAGCAACAGUGACCUUGCACCCCAGCACACCUGCCUCUGGUGGCCACCCCGCUGCCCCAUGGCUGGCUGGGUGGCCAGGCAGGAAGUGCCCAGCUCAAGAGGCUGGGAGGUUUGUUGAGGGUGGGGGGUGUGCCCCACCUGAAGCCGGGGCUCCCCCUGCCUCCCUCUCUCUCCUCCCCUCCGGGAAUUGGGCAGCCCUGGGCAGUUGUACUCAUGGGGGCUUAAGAUGCAGCUACCUCAGUGCGC
rnacentral:sRNA from 1 species